rnacentral:lncRNA from 1 species
UGUUGAGAAGCACUUAAGAGGUCCCUUUUAUAGCCCAAAAAGCAAAUAUAGCCGUUAGACACAAAAAAGAGACGUUUGAAAUUCAAAUCAAACCUGAAAAAGUUGUUAGUCGCGUCCCAAGCGCUCCGGGGACGUCUCCGCGCUUUACGGGGACAUCUCCGCUUGUUUGCGCUUUUUGCAUGGGGACGACUCCGCUUCUUCGGGGACGACUCCGCGCUCCGGGGACGUCUCUGCGCUUUACGGGGACGUCUCCGCCGUUAUAUCUCCGAAAAACAAGUCUUCUGGAAUUCUCUGAGAGAGUCGACUCCGCUUUUUCAGGGGACGUCUCCGCGCUUUACGGGGACGUCUCCAGACGUGCCAGUUCUUCCUGUUUGUGCCAGAGACGUCUCGGAGACAACCCGGAGACGUCUCGGCUGUCCCUGAACUUUUUCUUUCAUCUCAAAAAUUCUUCAAUAAGUUCUUAAAAAUCAUGGGAACUUGCCUAGACAUUUCUUAACAAUAUUCUUAAUUAACCAACUAAAAUCCUCAAAUAACUUGUUAAGAUAAAGAGAAUUAUGCUCUAGUGUUUUGUAUUCAUCAAAAUCCAUUAGAGGGUCAACAAUCUCCCCCUUUCUGAUGAUGACAAAACUUGGAGUAUGUGCAAUAUAAAAUAUAUUAUGUUCUA